CUUAGUAACGCAGCUAACGCGUGAAGUGACCGCCUGGGAGUACCGUCGCAAGAUUAAAACUCAAAGGAAUUGACGGGGACCCGCACAAGCGGUGGAUGAUGUGGAUUAAUUCGAUGCAACGCGAAAAACCUUACCUACCCUUGACAUGUCUAGAAUCCCUGAGAGAUCGGGGAGUGCUCGCAAGAGAACUGGAACACAGGUGCUGCAUGGCUGUCGUCAGCUCGUGUCGUGAGAUGUUGGGUUAAGUCCCGCAACGAGCGCAACCCUUGUCAUUAGUUGCUACGAAAGGGCACUCUAAUGAGACUGCCGGUGACAAACCGGAGGAAGGUGGGGAUGACGUCAAGUCCUCAUGGCCCUUAUGGGUAGGGCUUCACACGUCAUACAAUGGUCGGGACAGAGGGUCGCCAACCCGCGAGGGGGAGCCAAUCCCAGAAACCCGAUCGUAGUCCGGAUCGUAGUCUGCAACUCGACUACGUGAAGUCGGAAUCGCUAGUAAUCGCGGAUCAGAAUGUCGCGGUGAAUACGUUCCCGGGUCUUGUACACACCGCCCGUCACACCAUGGGAGUGGGUUUCACCAGAAGUAGUUAGCCUAACCGCAAGGGGGGCGAUUACCACGGUGGGGUUCAUGACUGGGGUGAAGUCGUAACAAGGUAGCCGU
rnacentral:rRNA from 1 species